rnacentral:lncRNA from 1 species
AGAAAGCCCCCACUGGGCUGGUAAAUCAAGGAGGCAGGUCUUCAAAGUAGACUUUUGUGUCAGCAAAGGUUAUAUGUGAGUAUUAAUAAAGAAGAUAAUAAAUAAUAGUCUUUUUAUAUUUGAUUCCAUUACUCCGGCUUUACCAGUGUUACUUGUCUCUGUAGCUUCAGGUGGACCCUGUCCCUCCAUUUCCAGCCAUCUACUUGCUAAGCUGGGACAAGCCUCUGCCUUCUUACUAACCGAGAGUUGUUUUCUCACAUGUAAAGCGUUGCCUGCCAGGUACCCAGGAAUGGAGCAAAUCUACAGGCAAAACCAAACAGGGUAGAGAAGAAAGAGCACACACUACUCUCCUGUUCAGCUUUGAGUCCAGAAAGGAAGAACAAGCCCUGGAGAGUUGAAGGCAUUCGGUUUUGAUUACUGCUGUAUUGAGUUGAGACAGGGUACCUCGAAGCAGAGACUGCUGGUUUUGUUCUGAUGUUGGUUCAGGGGGGAAAAAAAAAAAAGGAGAAUUUGAAAGACUUUGAAAGCAUACAAUUUUUUUUUUUUUAAACAAGUUCUGAUGACUAGAAUACAGUUUUCAAAACGAGGUGAUCACUUUUGGCAGUGGUAGCAGCAACUUCUGUUUGUUAGUGGGAUAAGAGAAACGUCUGUCUGGAGUGUAUUCUGUCUAUGACACAGUAAUCAGAGGCAUAUGAAAGCAAACACGUUUUAACUGGGACACUCCUAGGUUUUCUUUCUCCUCUGUCCCAUCCAAAUUAAUGAUAUUAAAGGGCAGGGAUUUGAACUCAUUUACUUGGGACUUGGGGUGUCCUGGAGAUAUGAUGUUCUCUUUAUUUCCUUAAGGCAAAUUUGCCAAGCGAUGAACAUGUUGCAGACAGUGUAGGGCUUUAGCUAAGAACGUUUGGAUACUGGAAUGAUCCCAAGGAAGAGGAAAUAGAUGCGGCUUAGUGUGUAGGAUUUUGAAAUUUGCUGACUUUCAGUGAGAAAACUAUUGAUCUUCCCAGCAGCGGUUAUGAUACUCCUAUGUCUGUGUCCUGAACUCAUAUUGUGCUGAUGUGUUCUGUAUGGUGUCAUGUUACGAUAAGAAAUUAUGAAGCCCAAAUAGGAAAAACAGACAGUAUAGUUGUAUAUUGUAUAUCAUAUCAAACACGGUACAAGUCCAGCAUCCUUGCAGCUUUGUUUUAAUGUAAUUUAUUAUAAGAUUCAGGAAAGCUAACAAGUGUGGGUUAAAUGCUGAGGACUUCUUAAAAAAAUAAUAUGUAUAUAGGAAAUGUUUUAACAGGAGGUGUUUUUGAAUUUAAUUAUCAUUACAAUGUAAAAUUCAAGAUGAAGAAACACUUAAAAAAAGGUGUAGUAGAACGGUUAUUUCUUAAUUUACUAAAAUUGUUGCUCAUGUCUUGUAUUGAGCUAGACUUUCUAACUCUAAUGCUGGUCAAGAUUUCCAUGGUGUUUUUAUGGUCGUGCCUUCAGCAGCAGGGGAAUCUAUGUAAGAGCUCUAAUUUAAGAAUACUUUAAAAUUAAAUGAACAAAAUAAAUAUUAAUGCUGGGUGACUAAAGAUGAAGAAGGCUUAGCAGCAAGUUAAGGUAGGGUCAUUAAAAGGCAAUGACUAGGCAUAACAUAACCAUUUAAAAACAAAUUUUAUAAGGCAUUAGAAUCAGCUCUUAUCAGCCACAGUGAAAUUCAUUUCUUGUUGAGCAAAAAGAUUUUUAAGCAGUUGACUUCAUUUUUCUCCAAUAUAUCCACACACUUGGAUUGCAGUAGAAUAUAAUUAUGUAUUUCUAUCUUGUAUUUAAGACGUAUUAGAUGCUCUACAGAGCCUUGAGGCUUACAGAGCAUUUGUGACCUCUGCUAAGAGGAAAUUCUCAGCUACCACCAACAGCUCUCCCUGCCUCUGUUUGCAGAGUUUCUGUCUGUAUUUUUCCUUGUGUGUGUGUGUGUGUUUUUUUUUUUUUUUUUUUUUUAAGCUGCCUUCUUUCCACUCUGCCACUCUUGGGCACCUCAAUUUGAAAAGGUGAAUUGUUGCUCCUGGAGAUUUGUACCUUACUGCAUUCUAGGAAAGUGAGAUGGGUGUUGUUCCCACUAGAGGCUGAGAUACUCAUAUCCGUGACAUUUAGCUGCCAGAGCUUGGGAGAAGGGGGGAGGCAUUUUUGGCGUUAACAAGCUCUUGUCAGCCCCUGGUGCAAGCCGACCUGUGCCAUGACAAACUGCAACAGAGCUGUGACCGUUUCUGAGGCAGCGUGUAUGAAAGCCAGCCUUUCACAUUUCCUAACCUGGCAGGAUGUCCAUCAGUGGGAGGAAGUAGUCCUCAGAGCAGUUUAUCUAUCAGAUUGUGUUUGUAAGUUCUGCCUGACUGGUAGCACGCCUGGCUUGGCCCUUAGACUUUGGAAUGUGUUUGCUAAUUAGAAAGUUCCAUUUAGAGAAUGAAGUGUAGGCAGUACAUUUAGUCAACAAUAAGAGUUUGGACCAAGACAGGGGCACAGGCUGGGUGCUUGAGUUUCAGGAAUUUCAGAGGCAAUCAAAGGCUGCAUUUACACUGACCCUGAGUACAGGGACAGGAGCAAAUUGGUGUCCUCCAGUGUCUACACACAACAAGUGCUUGCUAAAUACUUGUUAAGUAAGUGAAUGAAAUGUGUAACUAUCAAAUACAGAAAAGGUUUAGAGACAAAGAGAGGACGAUUGUGUUAACCUGUACAGAGAAAGUGCCAUGCUUCUGGGUGAGAUUGUGGUCCAUAGGCCGUGUUGAUGCGUGGAACAAGCAGUGGUGCAUCUGCAGCGUUUCCAAGGUGACACAGAUCUUUAAUCCCCACCAAGGAAUUGGAAAGAAAUGUAGAAUUUAUUAAUGUGGGGAGGAAAAAAAUUUCAAAAUAAGGAAUGAAACUUCCAGUGCUAGUUUUCUAAACCAACACAGAAGAAGGGCAGGGACCAGACAUAACCGUGGUUCAAAAUUGCUCAGGUGCCUAGAGAUGGUCCGUAAAGUUCAUUUUUGAAGAAACAAUAUGAUGUUUAUGGUUUUGGGUACUGUGAAUGCAUAGACUGAAGAAUCGUGGUGUAGACUGUGGCCAAACAGAGCAAUGGCCACUGUCAGAAAGUCCAUCCCACUGUGGAUGCUGAGUGAGACAAGUUCUGUCCAAGUCUUUUUUUUUUUUUUUUGUCAUGCACUGUAUAGUUGUGGCUGGAUUCUACUAUUGGCUUGAAAUGAAUGUGAAUUUGGGUGAAGCUAUGAAGUUAAUAUUCCCUGGGAACUGAGCAAUUAAAUAAAGAUCAUUUUUG